rnacentral:lncRNA from 1 species
GCGGGUAUGAACACGGAUGCACAAGGUAAGUGAUUUCCGUAAUCACUUCUUAGUUCAAGUAAGUAAUAAAGUGUUAAAAUUUAUUUAAACAUGAUGUUUGAGGUUAAUUAUGUAGAAAAGUCUUUCGUCGUGAAUGAUGGGAUUAAAGUUGACCAAAAUGCCCUUGAUGGAUAUUUUGGGCAAACGAUCUUAGUAGUAUGGAAGUGAAGAGUAUGGUCUUGGUA